AGAACGAACGCUGGCGGCAUGCCUAACACAUGCAAGUCGAACGAGACCUUCGGGUCUAGUGGCGCACGGGUGCGUAACGCGUGGGAAUCUGCCCUUGGGUUCGGGAUAACAGUUGGAAACGACUGCUAAUACCGGAUGAUAUCUUCGGAUCAAAGAUUUAUCGCCCAGGGAUGAGCCCGCGUAGGAUUAGCUUGUUGGUGAGGUAAAAGCUCACCAAGGCGACGAUCCUUAGCUGGUCUGAGAGGAUGAUCAGCCACACUGGGACUGAGACACGGCCCAGACUCCUACGGGAGGCAGCAGUGGGGAAUAUUGGACAAUGGGCGAAAGCCUGAUCCAGCAAUGCCGCGUGAGUGAUGAAGGCCUUAGGGUUGUAAAGCUCUUUUACCCGGGAUGAUAAUGACAGUACCGGGAGAUAAGCCCGGCUAACUCCGUGCCAGCAGCCGC
rnacentral:rRNA from 1 species